GGGCCAUAGCACAGUGGCAGAGCAUCUGCCUUGCAUGCAGAACCUCCCUGGUUCAAUCCCCAGCAUAUCCA